rnacentral:misc_RNA from 1 species
GAUGAAGAACGCAGCGAAAUGCGAUAAGUAAUGUGAAUUGCAGAAUUCAGUGAAUCAUCGAAUCUUUGAACGCACAUUGCGCCCGCCAGUAUUCUGGCGGGCAUGCCUGUUCGAGCGUCAUUUCAACCAUCAAGCCCUGCUUGCGUUGGGGUCCUGCGGCUGCCCGCAGGCCCUGAAAACCAGUGGCGGGCUCGCUGGUCACACCGAGCGCAGUAAUACAUCUCGCUUUGGGCGUGCGGCGGGUUCUUGCCGUUAAACACCCCCUUUUUACCAAGGUUGACCUCGGAUCAGGUAGGAAUACCCGCUGAACUUAAGCAUAUCAAUAAGCGGAGGA